rnacentral:rRNA from 1 species
UACGUAGGGUGCGAGCGUUGUCCGGAAUUAUUGGGCGUAAAGGGCUCGUAGGCGGUUUGUCGCGUCGGGAGUGAAAACCAUGGGCUUAACUCAUGGCUUGCUUCCGAUACGGGCAGACUAGAGGUAUGCAGGGGAGAACGGAAUUCCUGGUGUAGCGGCGAAAUGCGCAGAUAUCAGGAGGAACUCCGGUGGCGAAGGCGGUUCUCUGGGCAUUACCUGACGCUGAGGAGCGAAAGUGUGGGGAGCGAACAGG